CUGCUUCCAGUGAACACACAGCUUAGGGGGGCCCCCCAAACAAACUGCAUCCCCAUGGAGCUUUACAGAGGUUGUUGGCUGAAAGGGGACAUUUCUGUAGCUGUGUUUGACUGCUUAAAACAACAGCUGAACAUUCCUCUGGAACCAGACAGGGGGACCCUGGCCCAAGGCCUUCAAGGAUGGAGCUUAAAUUUCAGAGCAAAAGUUACAGAGAGUAAUCACACAAGACCCAGAGCUGCAAUCCUAAUUAAAGGCAAUUCCAUGAUCCAUGAAGGGAGGAUGAACUUUCAGAGCAAAAUCUUGAUUAUACAAAAAAAGCACCAGAAACCAGGGAAGGAGUUUCCCAGAUAUUCCCAGAUAUCCCAGGUAUUGUUGCCCACACAACAUAACACGGCUCAUGUGCUUCUGUAAGGCUGUUCCCCAUUUUCCACCCUGAGUUAAAUCAAAGCCCCAGUGACAGUACUGGAAUUCCUGAACAGGUGAGACAAAUUCUUUCCUUAAAAACCAACAUAAAACUCUUCAUAAAUUCUAGGUUCUUCCUGGGGUGGUGAAGAUUUCUCUCCCAAAGCACAGGUGAGCCCAUGUGCAGAACAAAACCAUUUAUUCCACAUGGAAAUUUCAUGGACCUGGCUCAAGAUCAAGCAUUUCCCACAGCUGGUGCAAUGUUUUCUAUGGGAUGAAAGAGAGAAAAAAACAGGGGAGGUUUUCAAAAGCACAGCUUGAAAAAAACUGCUGGAAUUCCCAUUCCACAGGCCCUGCAGCCUGGCACUGACCCCAUUUAGCACAAGGGUAAAGGGGUUUUUUGUCUUUCUGAUCUUCUCCUCAGAGGCCAAACAGAGCAAAAAAAACAGAGUGAGGAGCUCACUCAUGAAGCUGAGACUGGACAAAGAAAUUCAGGACAAAGUUGUUUCAAAAGCCUGUAAUUGAGCAUUCCAAGGGAAUUCCAUUCAACAAUUACCUGCUGUACAAGAACCUGGCAGCACUCAGGUUUCCAUGGGACAACAACACACAAAGCUACUCCCACAGCAACACGAGUGCAGAAAUGGAUGUGUCUGAUCCCCAUGCACACGCAUCCUGUGUUACCUUGAACUCCACAUCUUAUCACAUGUUCUGAAGGGAAAACUGAAGUUUAAGGCAGGUUAAAGCCUCUAAAUCAGGAUCUGCUGUGUAAAGAACACAGGAAUCUCUGUGCUCUGGACUGCUUGCCUGGGGGUCAGCUCCUCAGACCAGGCUUUUUUGAAAUGCAGCUCCGAAUUUUGGAUGCUCAAUUUGCAACAUCUGAAGCUUGAUUUCUCAAAAUUAGUAACUGUGAAAAGUCUCAAUUACAGCCAGUCAGAGCUCCAACCAAGCAGGCAGUACACAGAGAAAUAUCUGAAGAUAACCUUGAUUUCUUAAGGUCACUAAGACAAAGGAAUGAAUUUAUGCUCACAGUGACAGAGUGUUCUUGUCACAGCCUGUGGGGAUCAUGGGGUUUCAACACAAGAGGGAGUUUAGGUGGCAACCACAGCAACUAUCCUGAGCUGGAUUCCCAGAGGAACAGCUCUGGCUGAAUCCUCCAAACCCAAACCUAAAGAAUGAGACUUCACAGUUGAGAUCUUAUAAAAUUAAUUCUACAAUUUACACAAGGCUUUGUUCAAAUAUAUUUUUUCUCUUAUUAACUGUAUCUAAAAUCUAUUUCACAUGCCCAAAACCUUAAAAAAUGGUAAUCCAUUACCAUCAUCCAUCAUCUGU